AUUAUUGACGUAGAACGUUUCCGGUUGCAAGACGUGAUAUUUAUUUUUCUCAUUAAUUAGUUAAUUAUCGUUAUUUAUUUUUAAUUAAAAGGCAAGAUGAGUAACAAAAAUGCAGCUAAGAGAAGAGAAAACCCUGCUGAUACUGUAAAUGAUUUGGAACAACAACUUAUUCUUCGUUUACCACCGGGUCCUGCCAUGGCAUUACGUCAUGAUGUUCAAACCGGUUCAUUAACAUUAAAAGAUAAGCUGAGUAUAGAGAUGCAGCCGGAUAUGAGGCAUGCUAGAGUUCGAUAUGGUGGAGAAAUAUUUUCAGCAAAAUUAGUUGACCUACCUUGCAUAAUCGAUUCCUUGAAAACGGUUGAUAAAAAAACAUUUUAUAAGACAGCAGAUAUAAACAAGAUGCUGAUUUGUACAACAGAAGAUGAUUUAAGUCAGGAAGAAAGUGAUUCUCCAAAGAAAAAAGAUAAAGAACAGAAGAAAUUCAUCUAUAAUCAUGGAAUAACACCUCCUUUGAAAAAUGUAAAGAAAAGACGAUUUAGAAAAACACUGAAGAAAAAGUUUAUGGAUCAACCAGAAAUAGAAAAAGAAGUAAAGAGAUUAUUUCGGUAUGAUGCUGAAGCUAUUGAUGUUAAAUGGGAGAUAAUUCGAGAUGAAGCUGAAGCCACUACAUCAGGUCAAAUAAUGGAAGGAAGUACAUCUUCUAGAAAAAUACCAGCUGGUUUGUUACAAAAUGAACAAGAAACAUCUAUGGAUGUUGCCUCAUAUUUUGGAGAAGUAAGUAGUUCUGAAGAUGAAGACAAAGAUAUAAAUAUUAUGGAUAGUGGUGAAGAUGAGGCAUCAAGAGGUCCGUCCACACCUCGAAUAUCAUUCGGAAGUUUAGAUAGAACAGCGAGUGAAAGUCUGGAUGUACCUGAAACAGAUACAGAACAUUUUGAGACCUGAAUGAGGAUUCUUGUUGAUGGAUAUCAGUUAUCGACGUUUACAUUCCCAGAACUUUCAAGGUUUGGAAGGAGACAAAAAGAGUUAAAUUAGAUGUAGAUGUUAGAUUAGAUGUGAAUAAUGUACUGUAUGUAUGCUUAUGUCUGAUUGUUUAAUUAUUAUUAAAAAUAAACUGCACACAAUUUAUAUUAUUGUUAUUCAAUAUUUGUAUUUAAUAAAAUAUUGAAAUAUAUUUAGAUCUUUUUUUUCUCUCUGCUAACAGCCUUGGAUUAACUAUUUGUUAAAUAAACUUGGGGCACUACAGGAAAGGGGGGAGGGGGUGGUCACCAUUGAUUGUUUUUAAGUGCCAGAUUUUCCAAGGUUCAAUUGGGGUGCAGCUGCUGGGCCCUGGAGAAAAGGUACAGACAAUAUUGACAAGACAAAUCAUAUGUAAACAUAUAUGAAUUUAUAACCAUCAUUAAUAGAUUAUAUUAUUGAAUAUAUUUAGACUUGAGAAUACAAUACAAUUAGAAUCUGGCAAGCGAAAUGGCAUGCUCAUAUGUUUAUUGUAAUAAAUUAUGGCAAAAUGAUUUUAAUCUGUUAAUUAAAGAUGUGUUAUGUAAGAUUUAGAUAGAGAGCUGACAGUUCUCGCUAUAAUAUUUAAAAAAAUAGAUAAUGAAAAGGGAAUAUGUUAAAAAAUUUCUGUCAAAUUACUUCAAUAUGGGUGGAGUUACAAUAUCAAAAGAAAGUAGGUUUAAUCAUUAACUAGCAAUCAUGUUUGUAUUCAAAGCAUAGGAUGGUCUAGACCGUCUAGAGCUUUGAUUAUGGGCUUGAAUAAAUUAUUUUUAUAACAUUUGAGGUAAAACGAAAGAACUACAUUAGGCAACUUUAGCUCUUACAUAAUGCAUCUUUAAUUUGUAUUUCAAUGAAAUAAUGUAGGAUUUUGUAAUUAAAAACAUAGAAUAAAGGUAUUUCAAUUUCAGCAUACAUGUAAGUUUUGUUUCAUUUUGAAAGAUACAAGAUCAUUUUUCAGUUUAGUUUGUUUUUAACUUUUUAUUUUGAAUUACAUUUUGAUGGGGCAUCAUAAACUUUUAUGUGCUUAGGGUAUUUAAUCCAUUCCUAAAUGUUUGCUUAAAGAUACAUUAUGGGAGAUUUUUUAUAGAGAAUUGGCCAUUCUUGCUAUAACAGUUCAAAAGUAGAUGAUGAAAGAAGAAUUUAAUAUAUUGAAAAUUUCAGUCAAAUUACUUUAUUCUGAACAUAGUUAUCAUCGUUGUAAUAUUUGACUAGAAAUGGUAGUGAAAUGUGCCUUCACCUUGGCCGAUCGUUUGAUUGACAGGCGUUAACUCCACCUACAUAUCUCGAUUAUCAAGUAAAGUUUUCAAUGGCAUGCGGAAACGCUCUACAGCAGCCUCGCUAAGUACAUUCUAUCAUUUAGCCUCGAUCUAACUGACGUAUUCUCAUCAGGAUAUGCCAUAUUUGAAUUAAUUAAUAAGUGAAAUCCUAUUUAAAUCCGAGCUGUAGCCGAGCCAUCCGUGGGUCUACAGAGUUGAUUUUGGUCUUGUUGUUUAAAUAAAGAUCUAAUUUAAAAUUUCUAUAUCAUCUGAAGCCUAAAUUAAGACUUGCAAUAAUCAGAUUUUGCUCUUGCAUAAUGUAUGUUUAAGGUUUUAUGCAUUUCUAACUUUUACCAAUAACUUCUGCAGACAUUUUUAUAUAUACUAAUAGUCACAAUAUUUGGGUUCAGAUUGAACUCUGGAACAGAUAAUGCCAGUCUGGAUACUAUAAAAAAAAACCUGAAAUAAAUGUGUACAAGAAAUAGAUGUGCCCUGACUACAUUCAUAUUGAUUCCAUUACACAUUUAUAGCCUGUACGAUAAACUAAUCAAUGGUGAGAUUAAUUGGUAUUUUGUUAGUGUCCUUUAUUAAAAUAGAUAGUGGUGUGAUAAAGGAUAUGACUUGUUCUAAAUUUGAUAUUGUUAGUCACAUUAGGCCUCGUAAAUUUCUUGUUUUACAGUAUUUCAGAUAUGUUGAUUAUUAGGAAAUGACACAUACUUCAUUUAUUCAGUGACUAAUCAUUAGCAGAACUGCACUAAUUUUCUGUUUGAUUAAAUGUCCACGCUUUUCUUCUGACACUGUCAAACAUACAAAUUUUAUUCUUAAGCAAAAUAUUCAUCUAAGUGAUAUCUAGAGAUGAUAUUUACACAAUGUUGAUCCAACACAAAUGACUAUUUUUUGUGCAUAUUAACCCCUAAUUAACAACCUUUUGCUGUUUUUAAUGACUGUAUUGAAUAAGUAAGAUUCACUGCAGCACCAUAUUUGUACACAGCAAAAGAAUUUAGAAAAAAUAAAUUCUGGGGGCAUUAUGAUAUAUAGGUUUGUCCUUUAAUACAUUUACUGUCCUCCUCGUGUGGAUUGUUAUCUUUUGUGGUGUGGCAAUUUUGUAUGCUUUAUUUUUAUCAUUUUUUCUGACUUUGUAUCCAAUGGUUAUAUCAUUUUCUAAUAUUAUUGUGUAGUUUUGUGUUUUAUAAUUGUAUACAAUAAAUAUUAGUUUUAAUUGCAAGAAAUGAAUAUUUUAAGUAAUGUAAUUAAUAUUUAAAUUAUAUCUCUGCAUGAUCUAAAUAGAGAAACUGAGGUAAAUUUUUGAUAAUUAUAUUUACUGUAAAAAGCAUGUGUACACCUAUUGCAUCACUGACUAUGGGUCUAACCAUUGCUCCUACUAUAGCAAACCUUUCAUUUGUUGAAAUAUUUAAAAAUGCAUUAUCACUUUGAAGUCUUCUCCAGUUGGUAAAAAUAAUUUUUGAUUGAUGUGAUAGAAAUAAUUAAAGAAGCAUUAUUGCUUGUAAAAAGUCCAGGCCCGAGUUCACAAAGCAUUCUCAGACUUAAGUUACGAAUUUACUCAACUUUCAAUCACUUUAUGAGAAAUAUCUUUGAUCCAGAAACACAAAACUUUGCACAUAGAUUCUUAUUGAAUGUAUUUGAUACAUUAAAACAACAAAUUUUUUUAUUAAGCUCUAUAUUUUAGUUAAAACAAGGCGAACAAUUUUGAGUAAAUUCUUAACUUGUGUCAAAGAAUGCUUUGUGAACUGGGGCCAGGUCUAUUAGUUAAAAAUAGAUUUUGAUUUGAUGUGAUUAGAUUAUAUAUAGUGCAUCAUUAGACCCUUAGUCUGACUGUUUUUUAAUGAUUAAUUGAUUAUAUUUUAUGUGUAUAAUAUAGUUUUUUGACUUUUACUAUUAAAGUUUUAUACAUGUUCUUACAGGUUUUCAACAGUAUAAAUUAUCAGAAUUGUCUAGUCAAUUAACACAAAUAAGACAGAAAAGACAUAGAAAGAGAUUAGAGAGCAUGGAAGCUAACAUUGAAAAGGAGAAAUUACAAGAUGACUAUGAUGAUCAGUUAUCUCAAGCUGAC